rnacentral:rRNA from 1 species
UACGGAGGGUGCAAGCGUUGUCCGGAUUCAUUGGGUUUAAAGGGUGCGCAGGCGGGACAUUAAGUCAGGGGUGAAAGACGGUUGCUCAACAAUCGCAGUGCCUUUGAUACUGGUGUUCUUGGGUGACCUUGAGGUAGGCGGAAUGGGUGGUGUAGCGGUGAAAUGCAUAGAUACCACCCAGAACUCCGAUUGCGAAGGCAGCCUACUGGAGGUUUACCGAACGCUCGAG